rnacentral:rRNA from 1 species
CCUACGGGGGGCAGCAGUGGGGAAUAUUGGACAAUGGGGGGAACCCUGAUCCAGCCAUGCCGCGUGUGUGAAGAAGGCCCUCGGGUUGUAAAGCACUUUCAGUGAGGAAGAACGCCUGGUGGUUAAUACCCAUCAGGAAAGACAUCACUCACAGAAGAAGCACCGGCUAACUCCGUGCCAGCAGCCGCGGUAAUACGGAGGGUGCGAGCGUUAAUCGGAAUUACUGGGCGUAAAGCGCGCGUAGGUGGCUUGAUAAGCCGGUUGUGAAAGCCCCGGGCUCAACCUGGGAACGGCAUCCGGAACUGCCAAGCUAGAGUGCAGGAGAGGAAGGUAGAAUUCCCGGUGUAGCGGUGAAAUGCGUAGAGAUCGGGAGGAAUACCAGUGGCGAAGGCGGCCUUCUGGACUGACACUGACACUGAGGUGCGAAAGCGUGGGUAGCAAACAGGAUUAGAUACCCCAGUAGUC